CCUUUGGACCUGUGGGUGCUGCUGGUUGAGGUGAUGAUACUUGGGGGUGCUGCAGCCACCUUGCCACGUUGAGUAGACAAAGCUGAGGUCAAGGCCAACCUGCCAAGGAUGCCAAGAGAUGAUGGGAAGAACCAGUUCCCAAGUGGUCACUGACCCACUGAGGUUAUCAACCUGGGUUUGUCUAUUUCUGGACUUUUGGUAAUAUGAGCUAAUAAAUAUCCAAGUGGGUAAGCCUUUUUGAGCUGGGCGUUUUUUCUCAUGGAGGCAGCUUCCUGUUAUAGGGGGCAGUGAAGAAGUCAGAGUUCAUGGCUGAAAGCACAGGAUGCAGACUUAGACAGACCUGAGUUCAGGUCCUUGCUCUGCCACCUACUUGCUGUGUGACCUUGGGCUUAGCUUCUCUGACCUUGAGUUUCUUCAUCUGCCUCCAAAUAAGGGAGAGCCCUGGCAGAAUCAUGGGAGGAACAGCGUGUGGAGCCCUCAGCACAGAGCCCAGCCCAGUGAGCAGUCAAUAAAUGUUAGCUCUCCCAAAGUUGGCAACCAGUCUGAAAGACUUCAUGCCCAGUCUCACAGCAGAGCUCCGUAGCCCAGGAUCUUCCAAGCACACGUUGCUCGUAGCCAUGAAGAAAUAAAAACAACCCAUGUUUGGCCCAAUCUUCUACACAUUAGGGCUUUUGAGCCUUUCCUAGGGAUACCAAUUAUGCAGCAUUUUGUGCUAGGUGGAUCUGGGAUUGUUUUAAGCUCUCUUUCAAAUGAAAGCAACAGUCUUUUUUAAAAAGUAAAAAUAAAAUGGACUCAUCACCCAACAGUAAUGCACAUGUAUGUUCAUCAAAGAAAAUAUAGAGGGAUCCACCGCUGUAUGAUUGGUACCAGCCUGUUAUGGGGUUGAAUUUUGUCCCCCACCCAAAAAGCUGCGAUAUUCUUAAGAGGCAGCAGAUACCCACUGGAAUCCCUCGAAGCCUGGCAGCCCCCCACGGAGCAGAGGGGGCCCUGUGCAUGAGGCCUCAAAAUCACCAACUUCUCAUCAUUAAAACUGAGAGAGAGAGAGAGAGAGAGAGAACACCAAAGCCUCACCGUGGAAACACAUGAACACGAAUGAGCAGGCUGUAGCGGAAGCAUGCCAUCUACUGCCAUCUGCUUCUGGUGAGGCCUCAGGGAGCUGCCAAUCAUGGCGGAAGGUGAAGGGGAGCCAGUGCAUCACACGGCAA
rnacentral:lncRNA from 1 species